AUUGAACGCUGGCGGCAGGCCUAACACAUGCAAGUCGAACGGUAACAGGAAGAAGCUUGCUUCUUUGCUGACGAGUGGCGGACGGGUGGGUAAUGUCUGGGAAACUGCCUGAUGGAGGGGGAUAACUACUGGAAACGGUAGCUAAUACCGCAUAACGUCGCAAGACCAAAAAGGGGGACCUUCGGGCCUCUUGCCAUCGGAUGUGCCCAGAUGGGAUUAGCUAGUAGGUGGGGUAACGGCUCACCUAGGCGACGAUCCCUAGCUGGUCUGAGAGGAUGACCAGCCACACUGGAACUGAGACACGGUCCAGACUCCUACGGGAGGCAGCAGUGGGGAAUAUUGCACAAUGGGCGCAAGCCUGAUGCAGCCAUGCCGCGUGUAUGAAGAAGGCCUUCGGGUUGUAAAGUACUUUCAGCGGGGAGGAAGGGAGUAAAGUUAAUACCUUUGCUCAUUGACGUUACCCGCAGAAGAAGCACCGGCUAACUCCGUG
rnacentral:rRNA from 1 species